UGGGAUAACUCCGGGAAACCGGGGCUAAUACCGGAUGCUUGAUUGAACCGCAUGGUUCAAUUAUAAAAGGUGGCUUUUAGCUACCACUUACAGAUGGACCCGCGGCGCAUUAGCUAGUUGGUGAGGUAACGGCUCACCAAGGCAACGAUGCGUAGCCGACCUGAGAGGGUGAUCGGCCACACUGGGACUGAGACACGGCCCAGACUCCUACGGGAGGCAGCAGUAGGGAAUCUUCCGCAAUGGACGAAAGUCUGACGGAGCAACGCCGCGUGAGUGAUGAAGGUUUUCGGAUCGUAAAACUCUGUUGUUAGGGAAGAACAAGUACCGUUCGAAUAGGGCGGUACCUUGACGGUACCUAACCAGAAAGCCACGGCUAACUACGUGCCAGCAGCCGCGGUAAUACGUAGGUGGCAAGCGUUGUCCGGAAUUAUUGGGCGUAAAGCGCGCGCAGGCGGUUUCUUAAGUCUGAUGUGAAAGCCCCCGGCUCAACCGGGGAGGGUCAUUGGAAACUGGGGAACUUGAGUGCAGAAGAGGAGAGUGGAAUUCCACGUGUAGCGGUGAAAUGCGUAGAGAUGUGGAGGAACACCAGUGGCGAAGGCGACUCUCUGGUCUGUAACUGACGCUGAGGCGCGAAAGCGUGGGGAGCGAACAGGAUUAGAUACCCUGGUAGUCCACGCCGUAAACGAUGAGUGCUAAGUGUUAGAGGGUUUCCGCCCUUUAGUGCUGCAGCAAACGCAUUAAGCACUCCGCCUGGGGAGUACGGUCGCAAGACUGAAACUCAAAGGAAUUGACGGGGGCCCGCACAAGCGGUGGAGCAUGUGGUUUAAUUCGAAGCAACGCGAAGAACCUUACCAGGUCUUGACAUCCUCUGACAACCCUAGAGAUAGGGCUUCCCCUUCGGGGGCAGAGUGACAGGUGGUGCAUGGUUGUCGUCAGCUCGUGUCGUGAGAUGUUGGGUUAAGUCCCGCAACGAGCGCAACCCUUGAUCUUAGUUGCCAGCAUUCAGUUGGGCACUCUAAGGUGACUGCCGGUGACAAACCGGAGGAAGGUGGGGAUGACGUCAAAUCAUCAUGCCCCUUAUGACCUGGGCUACACACGUGCUACAAUGGGCAGAACAAAGGGCAGCGAAGCCGCGAGGCUAAGCCAAUCCCACAAAUCUGUUCUCAGUUCGGAUCGCAGUCUGCAACUCGACUGCGUGAAGCUGGAAUCGCUAGUAAUCGCGGAUCAGCAUGCCGCGGUGA
rnacentral:rRNA from 1 species